GAUGUUGUACGACUCGUGUUCCAGAACGAUGUCUGUUUAUCGAGUUAAACGAUGGCUAUCGAAAGCAUUAGCCUAAUUCCUCGUGUCUCUGCCUCGAAACGUAAUUCCUGCAAUUCAGAAAUACGAGAAUACGUGCAAUUGGAUGCAACGGGUGGAAGAGCGCAACAAAUGUUUCACUCAACACCGUGACAAGUUCAUCCUUUGUGGACUUCCGUUACAAAUUGCAUCGAUGACGGAUCACCCUAUCUCCGGGGAAACGGUGGUAAGAAAAAGUUUGCCAUCCGGUCUGGCCGUAGUUUCCAGUUAAAAAGUGAUUGCACCGAGAUGGGGCUAUUUGCGAAGAAGAUUGCAAGAGGGCCGAUGGAAUUACGCAGCGCGACGAUGAAAUACUUUUCCGCAUCGUUGUGGGACGAGGAGGCGAAUACAAUGAAAGGGGCGAAUUCCGGCUUGCUGUUCCCUGUUCGCCGGACCUUUAAUUACAACCGAUGUCGCCAUAGUUGGCUCACCACUCCUGGAGCCGUGUUAAAAUGGAGAACAAUUUAAUAACAUAUUCGAAUAAUUAUUUAACAGUGGUGAGAUUAGAAAGAAUUCGUUCAUUUUUUUCUCCUUUAUUUCAAAAAAAUAUCAAUUACCAACGACAAAUGUUCGAGAGAAGAUGAGUGAAAAUAAUCUGCGAAAAUAAUCAAACGAGAGAUCGCUGAAAUUUUAUUAAUAUCAAAGUUCGACUGAGAAAAAAAAUACAUUUAUUUUUUUUAAAAUUCCACUUCGUGAAAAAGUCGUCUUAUCAUAGGACAAAUCAUAGGAUGUUUCGCAAUAUUCGUGUGAGAUAAACUUUCAUCGAAUACGAAUGCACGAAUGUAAAAACCAAGAAAAUAUAUGAGCCAAGUUCAAAUCCAUGA